rnacentral:lncRNA from 1 species
UCAUUUAUCUUCUAUCUAUGGACUAUCACCCUAAAAAGCUAUUAACUAUCUCAAAAACCCUAGCCUUUACUCUCAGCCAUCUUCAAUUUCCCUAACCCCCCAAGAGCCCAUAACUUUAUCCUCCUCAUCAUCAAUAACCUCACAUCCCAAACCCUAAGCCUCUCAUUUCUUUGUUCUCACCAUAGCCGUUGAGAGCUACUAAUGCCGAAAUAGAAAAGCUUGAAGUCCACCACUAGCCAACUAGUUAUCAAUGGCAUUAAACAUUUUCUAAUCUUGAAACAGAGAUGCUCUAUGGUAACUCUCUGCUUUGAUUUUUUUUUUUCUGGGUUUAUCUAAUGUUAGGGCUUGUAUGAAGAUUGUUUCAUAUGUGUUUUCCUCCUUUUGUGCUUUACUCUUUUAAUUUGUUGUUUCUGAAAUCUAUUGGGAUUGAUUUCGGUUUUGAUUUUAUGUUUGGGUUUUGUUAUUUUAGAUUCAUGUGUUUGGGAUUUUGAAAUCUAGUUUUCUCAUUGAUCUUUUAGGCUUGAUUUAAAAAUGCGUUGUGUGGUUUUGAACAAUACUUCUAGGGUUUGAAUUCAAGUCAGCGAGAUUGACACAACAAUUUGAACCUGUGUCAGGAGAUUUUUCAAUGGCAAGUUUGAGAUUCUGUUCUUCAUGACGUGGAUUUCCCUAGUGCAGUCUUUCAGAAAAAAUGAGUUUAUUAGCAUAGACAUUGUCCCCAUGGGUAAGAGUAUCCUUCUGUUUCAAUCUUAUUUUUGUUGGUUUAUCACCAUGAGCCUUGCUUGUGGCAAAGACAUUGGUUGAUGUGGAGAAGUGAAGAGUUUUUAUCAUUCUGAUCGUCCUAAGGUUGAUUUCUGCUAAAUUUAUUUUUAUCUUAUUUUUUUAAUUAUUGAGUCUAUGCAUAAACCAGAGAUUUCCAUUUCAUUAUUUACUAGAAUGAAAUUCACUGGGUGCCCAAAAGCAAAAUGAAAUUCACAUAUCUUUUCAACAUUUUGUAACCAACAACAAAUUGCUGUUGUUUUAAAGGGAAUAUCCCCGUGAUUAAUGCGGAUCAUGACCAAAUUUUAAUGCAGGAUUUAGAUUUAUUUUCUAUGACUAUCUCCCUCCUAAAUUUGUGUUUCUUAAACAACUAAACUUAUAACAAUCGGACACCCUUUAGCCUGUUUGGAGAUUUAACAUUUUUGGUCCCUUCUCAUGAAUUUUUCAGUUUUCUCGAUUAAUAGAAUGUGGGAACUUGGUUUGAUGAUUCAAAAACAGAAGUUGAGUUGGGAGGAUGAUGCUCCAAAAGUUGAUAAGUUGAUAACCGUAUUCAUUAAGAUUCAAAUUUUGAUUGGAAACAGUACGGAAUACAGAGACACUCAAAAGAGAAACUACAGAUCCGCUACAAUUUAUUCAUAUGUGGUCUGCGUCUGGACAAAAAAAACUUGGGACGCAGGCUGCCAAAUCCUCAAGUGAAAAACUUGGGACGCAGACUGCCAAAUCCUCAAGUGAAGAAAGGAUGCCCCCAGAAACUGGGGUCCUCAUAAUGACCGUAAGGACCAAGAUGCAUCGUAUCUUGGCCUCUGGGUACCCCACAAUGACCAGACUGUCCGGAGGCUUGGGAGCUACAUCCAUUAGCAUUUGAUUCUCAAGUGACUCAAGAACCACCUCUAGAGGUGUCUUUUGGGCCACGGGAACUGCAGCUGGAGCAGCAGCACCGCCUGGUUGGGGUGCCU